UACAGAGGGUGCGAGCGUUAAUCGGAAUUACUGGGCGUAAAGCGUGCGUAGACGGUCAAGUAAGUCGGGUGUGAAAGCCCCGGGCUCAACCUGGGAAUUGCAUUCGAGACUGCGUGGCUAGGGUGCGGAAGAGGGAAGCGGAAUUUCCGGUGUAGCGGUGAAAUUCGUAGAUAUCGGGAGGAACACCAGUGGCGAAGGCGGCGAUCUGGGAAGAUACUGACGCUGAGGUGCGAAAGCGUGGGGAGCAAACAGG
rnacentral:rRNA from 1 species